rnacentral:rRNA from 1 species
AUACGUAGGGGGCGAGCGUUGUCCGGAAUGAUUGGGCGUAAAGGGCGCGUAGGCGGCCCGGUAAGUCUGGAGUGAAAGUCCUGUUUUUAAGAUGGGAAUUGCUUUGGAUACUGUCGGGCUUGAGUGCAGGAGAAGUAAGUGGAAUUCCCAGUGUAGCGGUGAAAUGCGCAGAGAUUGGGAGGAACACCAGUGGCGAAGGCGACUUACUGGACUGUAACUGACGCUGAGGCGCGAAAGUGUGGGGAGCAAACAGGAUUAGAUACCCUGGUAGUCCACACUGUAAACGAUGAAUGCUAGGUGUAGGGGGUAUCGACCCCUUCUGUGCCGCAGUCAACACAAUAAGCAUUCCGCCUGGGGAGUACGGCCGCAAGGUUGAAACUUAAAGGAAUUGACGGGG